AAUGAGGCAACAGAAGCGUCUGCACAAGAGUAUUGCAGAGGACUCCUUUUGCAGUGCCUGCACCCCCCAAAUGUCUGAAGCUCUGUGCAUUUCUGCUUAAAAAGUACAUUCAGGUGUUUCUGCAAUGCUGCCUAGGAUCAGCACAAGGAGAUAACUCCUUGGAGAGAAGCGUAUAGCUUGGUCCUCAAAGCUGCUGCGUGCAUUCUACGUCCCUGUCCUCUCAGAAAGGUACACACAGUAUGCAAACUACACUAUUCUGAAAUCUCGGAGGUUGAAGCAAACCAAGAGAAAAAUGGGAGGCUAGCAACACACCUGGGUAACAAAACCAACUGACACUCUGGGACGGCUGCCUAAGUCGCCUUCAGUUUCCUUUCUGAAAUGUUGUGCUUGUAAGAUCCACUAAUAAAGAUUUCCAUGAAGUGAUUUCACUCUGCAAGCUUCCUGCUGUAAGAGGGAUACAUCAUCUGCUUUCAGUUCUCGGAGCCAGGUGUCUGCUCUGCCUGCACAGAACCUAUUGGUUUGGAACCAGCUGGAACAUCCAGCACCACCUACAAACAUAUUAUCUUUGCUGUUCUCUGUGUUUACGCCUAUUAUACCAGAGAAGAGAAAAAUGGAAAAUAAAAAGAAAUUACAAU
rnacentral:lncRNA from 7 species